CCCGCCACUGUGCUUGUCUGUAAGAGUGACUGUGUACUGUCCAGAGGAGGCUCAGAGUGACCCAGCUCUAGGAAGCAGAACUGCCCAGUUUAAUGGGUAACUCUGUGCCGAAAGGUCUGGGACAUGU
rnacentral:snoRNA from 8 species